CUCCGGUUGAUCCCGCCGGACCUGACUGCUAUCGGAUUGGUACUAAGCCAUGCGAGUCAUUGUAGCAAUACAAGGCGGACGGCUCAGUAACACGUAGUCAACCUAACUCGUGGACGUGGAUAACCUCGGGAAACUGAGAAUAAACCACGAUAGAUCAUAGUGCCUGGAAUGGCUUAUGGUCCAAACAGUUUACUGCCAUGGGAUGGGACUGCGGCCUAUCAGCUUGUUGGUGAGGUAAUGGCCCACCAAGGCGAUUACAGGUACGGGCUCUGAGAGGAGAAGCCCGGAGAUGGGUACUGAGACACGGACCCAGGCCCUAUGGGGCGCAGCAGGCGAGAAACCUUAGCAAUGUGCGAAAGCACGACUGGGUCAGUCCGAGUGAUUCCUGAUAAAGGAGUCUUUUGCUUGUCCUAAAAGCACAGGUGAAUAAGGGGUGGGCAAGUCUGGUGUCAGCCGCCGCGGUAAUACCAGCACCUCGAGUGGUCAGGACGUUUAUUGGGCCUAAAGCAUCCGUAGCCGGCUCUGCAAGUCUUCGGUUAAAUCCACCUGCUCAACAGAUGGGCUGCUGGAGAUACUACAGAGCUAGGGAGUGGGAGAGGCAGACGGUAUUCAGUGGGUAGGGGUAAAAUCCUCUGAUCCAUUGAGGACCACCAGUGGCGAAGGCGGUCUGCCAGAACACGUUCGACGGUGAGGGAUGAAAGCUGGGGGAGCAAACCGGAUUAGAUACCCGGGUAGUCCCAGCUGUAAACGAUGCAAACUCGGUGAUGCAUUGGCUUAUGGCCAAUGCAGUGCCGCAGGGAAGCCGUUAAGUUUGCCGCCUGGGAAGUACGGACGCAAGUCUGAAACUUAAAGAAUUUGGCGGGGGAGCA
rnacentral:rRNA from 1 species